GACGAACGCUGGCGGCGUGCUUAACACAUGCAAGUCGAACGGUGAAGGGACCGGUUUUUGCUGGUUCUGGAUGAGUGGCGAACGGGUGAGUAACACGUGAGUAACCUGCCCCCUCCUUCUGGAUAACCGCAUGAAAGUGUGGCUAAUACGGGAUAUUCUGCGCCUGCUGCAUGGUGGGUGUGGGAAAGAUAUUGUUUCGGUGGGGGAUGGGCUCGCGGCCUAUCAGCUUGUUGGUGGGGUGAUGGCCUACCAAGGCGGUGACGGGUAGCCGGCCUGAGAGGGUGGACGGUCACACUGGGACUGAGACACGGCCCAGACUCCUACGGGAGGCAGCAGUGGGGAAUAUUGCACAAUGGGCGCAAGCCUGAUGCAGCGACGCCGCGUGAGGGAUGGAGGCCUUCGGGUUGUAAACCUCUUUCGCCAGUGAAGCAGGCCUGUCCCUUUUGUGGGUGGGUUGACGGUAGCUGGAUAAGAAGCGCCGGCUAACUACGU
rnacentral:rRNA from 1 species